AUACUUACCUGGUAGGGGCAAUACUAUGAUCAAGAAGAUGGUUUGCCCAAAGUGUGGUCUAGUUAUUGUACUUAAGUUGUACUGACCUUUGUGAGUUCUUCAAAUACAGAAAUCUCAGCUGCAUGAUUUCUGAUAGUGGGGGCUUGCCUGUGUUUGUGUUCUUCCUUC